rnacentral:lncRNA from 1 species
AGGAAGCAGAGGGUGAGGUAAAAGAGUCUCAGGGACAGGAAACAAAGGGUGAGGCAAAAGAGUCUCAGGGACAGGAAGCAGAGGGUGAGGUAAAAGAGUCUCAGGGACAGGAAACAAAGGGUGAGGCAAAAGAGUCUCAGGGACAGGAAGCAGAAGGUGAGGUAAAAAAGUAUCAGGGACAGGAAGCAGAGGGUGAGGUAAAAUAGUCUCUGGGACAGGAAGCAGAGGGUGAGGUAAAAUAAUCUCAGGGACAGGAAGCAGAGGGUGAGGUAAAAGAGUCUCUGGGACAGGAAGCAGAGGGUGAGGUAAAAUAGUCUCUGGGACAGGAAGCAGACGGUGAGGUAAAAGAGUCUCUGGGACAGGAAGCAGACGGUGAGGUAAAAGAGUCUCAGGGACAGGAAACAAAGGGUGAGGCAAAAGAGUCUCAGGGACAGGAAGCAGAAGGUGAGGUAAAAAAGUAUCAGGGACAGGAAGCAGAGGGUGAGGUAAAAUAGUCUCUGGGACAGGAAGCAGAGGGUGAGGUAAAAGAGUCUCAGGGACAGGAAGCAGAGGGUGAAGUAAAAGAGUAUCAGGGACUGGAAGCAGAGGGUGAGGUAAAAGAGUCUCAGGGACAGGAAGCAGAGGGUGAGGUAAAAUAGUCUCAGGGACAGGAAGAAAUAAAAGAGGAGAUGAAGGAAGAAUGAAAAUACUGAGAUUCAGGCAGCAAAGAAGAAGGAAAAUUGGAUUAGAAACAAGAGGGAAAUGUAGAGGAGGCAUUAGUCGUUGUGUGAUAUACUACAUAUACAAAAGUAUUUGGACACCCUUUCAAAUUAGUGGAUUCGGCUAUUUCAGACACACCUGUUGCUGACGUGUAUAAAAUCGAGCACACAGCCAUGCACUUUCCAUAGACAAACACUGGCAGUAGAAUGGCCCAUACUGAAGAGCUCAGUGACUUUCAACGUGGCACCGUUAUAGGAUGCCACCUUUCCAACAAGUCAGUUUGUCAAAUUUCUGCCCUGCUAGAGCUGCCCUGGUCAACUGUAAGUGCUGUUAUUGUGAAGUGGAAACAUCUAGGAGCAACAACGGCUCAGCCGCGAAGUGGUAGGCCAGACAAGCUCUCAGAACCAGAACGCCGAGUGCAGAAGCACAUAAAAAUCGUCUGUCCUCGUUUGUAACACUCACUAUCAAGUUCCAAACUGCCUCUGGAAGCAACGUCAGCACAAGAACUGUUUGUUGGGAGCUUCAUCAAAUGGGUUUCCAUGGCUGAGCAGCCACACACAAGCCUAAGAUCACCAUGCAAAAUGCCAAGCGUUGGCUGGAGUGGUGUAAAGCUCGCCGCCAUUGAACUCUGGAGCAGUGGAAACGCAUUCUCUGGAGUGAUGAUUCACGCUUUACCAUCUGGCAGUCCGACGGACGAAUCGGGUUUGGCGGAUGCCAGAAGAACACUACCUGCCCCAAUGCAUAGUGCCAACUGUAAGGAUUGGUGGAGGAGGAAUAAUGGUCUGGGGCUGUUUUUCAUGGUUCGGCUAGGCCCCUUAGUUCCAGUGAAGGGAAAUGUUUACGCUACAGCAUACAAUGACAUUCUAGACGAUUCUGUGCUUCCAACUUUGUGGCAACAGUUUGGUAAAGGCCCUUUCUUGUUUCAUCAUGACAAUACCCUAUGCACAAAGCGAGGUUCAUACAGAAAUGGUUUGUCGAGAUCAGUGUGGAAGAACUUGACUGGCCUACACAGAGCCCUGACCUCAA